UUGACCUCAAAUCAGGUGGGACUACCCGCUGAACUUAAGCAUAUCAAUAAGCGGAGGAAAAGAAACUAACAAGGAUUCCCUUAGUAACUGCGAGUGAAGUGGGAAGAGCUCAAAUUUGAAAUCUGGCAGUCUCUGGCUGUCCGAGUUGUAAUCUAGAGAAGUGUUGCCCGCGCUGGACCGUGUACAAGUCUCCUGGGAUGGAGCGUCAUAGAGGGUGAGAAUCCCGUCUCUGACAUGGACUACCAGGGCUUUUGUGGUGCGCUCUCAAAGAGUCGAG
rnacentral:rRNA from 1 species